AAGGAUCAUUAUUGAAUUAAUGUAGAGUUUGGUUGUAGCUGGCUCCUAAUUAAACUUGGGGGCAUGUGCACACCUUUCUCUUUCAUCCCAUACACACCUGUGCACCUGUGAGACAGAUGUUUUGUGGGGGGGAAGGAACUUUAUUGGACCUUCUACUCCCCCUUGACUUCUGUCUACUUAAUUCAUAUAAACUCAAUUUAUUUUAAAACGGAUGUAAUGGAUGUAACACAUCUAAUACUAAGUUUCAACAACGGAUCUCUUGGCUCUCGCAUCGAUGAAGAACGCAGCGAAAUGCGAUAAGUAAUGUGAAUUGCAGAAUUCAGUGAAUCAUCGAAUCUUUGAACGCACCUUGCGCUCCUUGGUAUUCCUUGGAGCAUGCCUGUUUGAGUAUCAUGAAAUCUUCAAAGUCAAACCUUUUGUUAAUUCAAUUGGUUCUGCUUUGGUAUUGGAGGAUUAUUGCAGCUUCACACCUGCUCCUCUUUGUGCAUUAGCUGGAUCUCAGUGUUAUGCUUGGUUCCACUCAGCGUGAUAAGUUAUCUAUCGCUGAGGACACCCUGUUAAAAAGGGGUGGCCAAGGUAAAUGCAGAUGAACCGCUUCUAAUAGUCCAUUGACUUGGACAAUAUCUAAUUUAUGAUCUGAUCUCAAA
rnacentral:rRNA from 1 species